GUUACCUCUUCCAUUAUUAGGUUUACGAAAAAUUGUGUAUAUAUACGCGUGUGCGCAGAGCACAAUCUCGUGUGUUCAACGCCAAGAAAACUACUGAUUAGAGGAUUUGAGGAGAAUUAGAGAUGGCUUUAUCUUUCAUGAGGCAGACAAGGCUCAGCCCGUCUGUGCAUUGCUGAACAGAUAUUUUGCACGUCAGUCUGAUCCCAAACUCUCAAUAUCGAGGUGUAAAGUUUUGAUAAAUCUGGAAUGGAUUCAAUUGCACCAUGAAAUUUGGACUUAAAAUAUCGAAUUAAAUGUUUGGUAAAAAAAAAAAAAAACACUUGUUUUUAUGCAGAAUUACUCUGAACUGACUGACGAGUCCUAAUUUUGUGGAAUUUAAGUUACUUGUUGGACUUAACUUUGGAUUAACAUGGUGGAUUCAACUAACAGCGUUGAUUCAAUUUUACAGGUUGGAUGCAUAGAUUGCUGCAGCUGAUCGGAUUUUUGUUGUGCAUUGAGAUUCAAGUUCUGGUUAAUAAUUGUUUCCUAAGAAGAAAUAAUCACAGAACUUAAAUCUCUAUAAACGGUGACUCCUUGUAAUUUGGUGUUAUCGAAGAAUUGUUUUUUUGCAAAAUUGUACAAAUUAUUAUUAGAAAACAUCAAACUACAAUGUGUAAUUGGAGCCUUAACGAAUCACGUUUGUUAUAUAAUCGAAUAGAUUUUGA